rnacentral:rRNA from 1 species
AGAGUUUGAUCAUGGCUCAGGAUGAACGCUAGCUACAGGCUUAACACAUGCAAGUCGAGGGGAAACGACAUCGAAAGCUUGCUUUUGAUGGGCGUCGACCGGCGCACGGGUGAGUAACGCGUAUCCAACCUGCCCACCACUUGGGGAUAACCUUGCGAAAGUAAGACUAAUACCCAAUGACGUCUCUAGAAGACAUCUGAAAGAGAUUAAAGAUUUAUCGGUGAUGGAUGGGAGUGCGUCUGAUUAGCUUGUUGGCGGGGUAACGGCCACCAAGGCGACGAGUCAGGUAGGGGUUCUGAGAGGAAGGUCCCCACAUUGGAACUGAGACACGGUACCAAACUCCUACGGGAGGCA